GAACUUUCUGUUUUUCUGCAAUUUGACAGUCAGUUAUUAAUGGAAAAACAACAUAAAUAAACUACUUCAACAUAAUUUUUUCUUUAGGGCUUAAUUACGUGGUAUCGGAUCAGUGCAUAAACUCCAGUACUUCCUGAUACCGAUACUAGCCUUUUAGGCCGUAUUGAAGGCGAUAC